rnacentral:rRNA from 1 species
UACGUAGGGUGCGAGCGUUAAUCGGAAUUACUGGGCGUAAAGCGUGCGCAGGCGGUCUGUUAAGACCGAUGUGAAAAUCCCCCGGGGCUUAACCUGGGAACUGCAUUGGUGACUGGCAGGCUUUGAGUGUGGCAGAGGGAGGUAGAAUUCCACGUGUAGCAGUGAAAUGCGUAGAGAUGUGGAGGAAUACCGAUGGCGAAGGCAGCCUCCUGGGCCAACACUGACGCUCAUGCACGAAAGCGUGGGGAGCAAACAGG